CCACUUAACUUUUUUUCUUCUUAACUCUCGUAUCUUUCUCCAUUACACAUUACAACAUAUUUAUACCUUUUUCAUCCAGAAUCUAAUUACAUUGAAUUAAACCAAAACAAGACCCCGUUAAGAGAUAUUGGCUUAAGUUACUUAAUGGACCAUAUUCUUUUCUUUUCGUAGGCCAUUACAAAAUUAAUCACAACAUAAGCUCAUACAAACUCUUACGUAAUGAUGAAAUAAUACAUCACGAUCAUGAUGAAAAGCGCACACAACCAUGUUUUUGAAAUUUCCUAGCUCUUGUAUCUCUUUCUCGUAUAAUUUAACUUCGAUAUUGAGCUCUCCAACCUGAAUCUUGUGCUUGUCAAUCUGAAUCUUGUGCUUUGAUGACUAACAGAUAAAUCUGCCAUCAAAACAAAAUAAGUUAUACAACCUACAAACAAAUCUGCGAUGAGCAACAAAUAAAUCUGCAAACACUUACAAAAAAUUUGCUAAGAAACAGAUAAAACUGCUAACACAAACCAAUAAAUAUGUCAUCAAACAACAACAAAAACUGCGAUGAGCUAACUCUCAAACCUAAACCUAAGCUAAGUUUCUUAUAUAAAAACAUGCAAACAUUUUACAAACUUAAGCUAAUUAUCUAACAAAACCUGAAACUUAGAACAAGAAACCUACAACUUAUCAAAUCUAAACCUGCAAAUUCAUUUACCAAACAAAUUUACGAUAACAAGUAAAUCUGCGAACACUAACAAUAAAUCUCCCAUAAAACAACAACAAAUCUUCCAUCAAACAAUACACAAAUAUGCUAAAGCUAAUUCUCAAACAAAUCUGCGAAAACUAAUUCUCUAAAAAAACCUACAAAUUGUUUACAAGUUUGAGCUAAUUAACUGAUAGAGUUUAGAUCUAUCUCAACACAACAACCCAGAAAAUUGAGAAUCAACCAAAUCAAUUUAUUACUCUAAUCACAAAUCGUGAACAGAGAAAAAAACAACGAUCGUUUCUGUAACAGAGAAUUACAAAACGAAUCUAAAGGAACGAUCUCAUGACGAUCGAUUCCCAGCUAGCACGCAGGCUCAGCAACACACACAACACAUAAAAAAGCAUCCCUGAAAGAGAUGAGCAACGGCUCCUUUUAUUGACUCAGAGAAGUUGAAACCCUCUGAUACGACCCAAGUCUUCGCUCCUUCCUUUUAGCCACUUGCCACGUCACCACUUGCCACCUGUGACGAAUUCUGUAUCUCAGCAUUGACCACGUUGACUUCUCCUCUCUUCCUCUUUCGAUAGUAGCAUUGAUGGACCUUAUCAAUACACCCCGCCGGAAAAAUAAGCUUGUCCUCAAGCUUAAAAUCGGGAUACUGCUGCACAAAAUCUUUUGACGACAUCCACGAAUUCGCAACCUCCGGAAAACCCGACCACUGAAUCAGAAAUUCACGGUUACCCGUCGCGUUACUCUGCACUUCCAAAAUCGCCGCCGGUAGCAAAACUGAUUCCUCUGUGUCGGAGAGGACAGGUAACUCUGUUUGCACUUGAUGGUGUGGACCCAGAACUGCCUUCAAUUGCGACACGUGAAACACCGGAUGGAUUGAAGCUUCCACUGGUAGUUUCAAACGAUAGGCGACUGCGCCGAUGCGUUCCCCAAUCUCAAAAGGACAAAAAACUUCGCUGCUAACUUCUGACAAACACGGCGCGAGACUGAUUGCUGACGAUAUGGUUGUAAUUUCAGAAAAACCCAGUCACCUACUGCGAAUUCCACCUCCCGGCGCUUCAGAUCAGCACUUUUCUUCAUCAACUGUUGUGCCCGAGCUAAAUUAACUCUGAUUCUGGCCAGCAUUUCGUCCCGCUCUUGUAGCUGAGCUGCCAAAGUAACAUUGUUGGUGGAGCCUGGUUCAAAACGUAGGAGCUGCGGAGGUUCACGCCCGUAAACCACUUGAAAGGGAGUUGAUUUCAAAGCAGUGUGAAAGGAUGUGUUAUAUGAAAACUCAGCCCACGGCAAAUACUUAAACCAGGUUCUCGGAUGACUAGAAGCAAAACACCGUAGAUAAGACUCCAAACAACGAUUCAACACUUCAGUUUGGCCAUCAGAUUGUGGAUGGUAUGCGGUGCUAAAGUUGAGCUGUGUACCCGCCAAACGGAAUGUCUCCUUCCAUACUGAACUCAAGAACACUCUGUCCCGAUCUGAAACCAGUGUUUUAGGAACCCCAUGAAGCCGAAUGAUCUCACAACAGAACUUGGUAGCUACAUCCAAGGCUGUGAAAGGAUGACACAGACCCAGGAAAUGAGCAUACUUACUGAAUCUAUCAACCACCACCAAGAUAGCAUUCACGCCACCCGAUUUUGGAAGUCCCUCAAUGAAAUCCAGUGACAAAUCUUCCCAUAUCCGUGUUGGAAUUGGUAGAGGCUGCAACAAACCCGCAGGAGAAAGAGUUGAAGUUUUAUGUGUCUGACAUAUAGAGCACUCUGCCACAUACUUUUGAAUAUCUUUGUGCAUGCCUUCCCAAUGGAAACUCUCCUGUAUUCUUUUCUUUGUCUUGAGAACUCCUCCAUGACCACCCAACUUACUGUCAUGGAAUUCUUGUAAAAGUAACUUGAUGAAUGGAGAAUCCUUUGGAAUAACCAACCUCUUCUUAUACCAUAAUUUUGCAGCAUGAACCUGAUAAUGACCCUGUUUUUCUGGUUUCACUAACACUUGUUGUAUGACAGCUUGAAUAUGAGAGUCCCUCUCAAUUUCCUUGUACACAUCCUGUAGCUGUAGGGACACUGGUACUGUCAAUGCUAACAAUACCGCAGAUGACACACUGAUCCCUGGUUGCUGAACUCUUGAUAACCCAUCAGCCGCUUUGUUUUCCACACCCGGUUUAUAGUAAAUCUCCAUGUCAAACCCCAUUAGCUUAGUUAACCAACGUUGAUACUCAAGACUGACCUCCUUUUGCUCCAACAAAUACUUCAAACUUCGGUGAUCAGUAUGAACUGCAAACUUACGGCCAAUUAAGUAAUGCUUCCACUUAAGAACUGCCAGCACUAUGGCCAUUAACUCUCUCUCAUACGCCGGUUUCAGUUGCUCCCUUGGUGUUAACCCGUGGCUAAAGUAGGCCAAAGGUCUAUGACCUUGCAUCAGCACUGCGCCUACUCCCACUCCAGACGCGUCUGUCUCCACCACAAAUUGUUUACUAAAGUCAGGCAAGCCAAGGACAGGAGCUGAAAUCAUCGCCAUCUUCAGUUUGUCAAAAGCUUGCUGAGCUUGAUUGGACCAUUCAAACUGAUCUUUGCGCAACAAAUCUGUCAAUGGUUUGGCCACCAUGCCAUAACCUUGAACAAACUUGCGAUAAUAACCAGUUAGGCCUAAGAACCCCCGCAGUUGCUUGACAGUAACAGGCGUUGGCCAGAGACGCAUUGCAUCAGUCUUCGUAACAUCUGUAGCCACUCCCUUAGCAGAGAUAAUAUGACCCAAGUAUUCAACCUGUGACACUCCAAAUGAACACUUCUUCAUGUUGGCAAACAACGUGAUGCUCAUCUAACAACUGCAGCACCAACUGUAAAUGCUCCACAUGAGAAGCAACAUCGUCACUAAAAACCAAGAUAUCAUCAAAAAAUACAAGCACAAAUUUGCGCAAGUAAGGUUUGAAUAUCUUGUUCAUGAGAGCCUGAAAGGUAGCCGGGGCGUUAGUAAGGCCAAAAGGCAUUACGAGGAACUCAUAGUGCCCCUCCAGAGUCCGGAAUGCAGUCUUAGCCACAUCCUCGGGUUUCAUUCUUAUUUGAUGGUAGCCCGAUCGUAAAUCCAGCUUAGAAUAGAUGGUAGACCCAUGUAGUUCAUCUAGCAACUGAUCAAUCACCGGAAUGGGAAAUUUGUCUGGAAUAGUCACCUUAUUUAGGGCUCUAUAAUCAACACAAAACCUCCAGGAAGCGUCCUUCUUCUUAACUAGCAAAACAGGACUAGAAAAAGGACUUGUACUUGGUCUAAUGAUUCCUGAAGUCAGCAUCUCCGCCACUAAAUUCUCCAUAGUCUCCUUACGGGCAUGUGGAUAGCGAUAUGGCCUUACAGAGAUAGCGGAGACACCUGGUAAGAGGUUGAUAGCGUGAUCCUGGCCUCGGAAAGGAGGUAAUCCAGAAGGCAGUGCAAAAACCUGAGAAUAACGGUGCAACAACUCUGCUACCGCUGAGGGAACAAGAGGAACAAUAGCUGGAGGCUCACUACUCUUCAGCACAGCUAAUUGAGCCCUUGAACGCCCAACAUAGGGAGGUGCACACAAUGUUUUCAAGGACAAUGGUGAAUCAUGAAGGGUAGCAUCUCCAUAUAAUAGCACUGGCUGCCCUCCAUAUAAGAAAGACCAUUCCUGUAACUUCCAAUCCACCACACAUUUCCCCAGGGUUUCCAGCCAUUGGACCCCAAGGAUGACAUCAACACUCCCCAACUCCAGUGUGAUGAAAUCCUGGAGGAACUCAACACCAGACAACCGGAAAUGAACAUCACGACAGGUUCCUGUUCCUUGAACAGUGACACCAUUACCAAGCAGCACUUCAAGACCUGAAUCUUGUUGAAUGGUAAGUUUUAAUUUUAAUGCCACUGCUGGAGUGAUAAAGUUAUGCGAUGCCCCACAAUCAAUCAUCACAAUCACUCUGGUCUUGCCCAUAAAACCUACCAUUUUAGUUGUUUUUGGUGAAUGCAACCCUACAUAAGAGUUGAAAGAUAAGGUCCUCAACUCAGGUUUCACUGCAACCACCAAAGGUUGCUCUUCUUCCACACAUUCAAUCAUAUUUUCAUCUAACACCUCAAGUUCAUACCCAUUCACCACUGUUAAAACUCUCAACUCUUUCAUUGGACAUUCAUGGCCACGGAAGUACUUUCCCUUGCAUUUGAAACAGAUUCCUUUACUCCUCAUGGCGUCAAGUUCUGCAUCAUUGUGACGAAUACGAGGACGACCCAGAGGCUUUGGACUGCUCUCUGGAGACUUCCCAAUAGAAGGACUUGGAGGAAUCCCUACUGGUUUAGGAGCAUGGGAAGUGAACACUGGCCGUGCAGGUGGAGGAAUAGGCUGACUUUGAUGCUUCGUUCCUUCGCCAGUUUCACUAACCAGUUUGCAAAAAGAGCUUGAUUCCAUUUUCAACACAGCGGUAAUGUGAUUUGGCAGUCCCUUAGGCUCUUUCAUUUUGAUAACCUCCUUCAUCUCAUGCUUAAGACCAUUAUAAAAAAUUUUCUCCAAGUGUGUAUCAUCCAACCCCAUCACCUGAGAAGAUAAAUCCUGAAACUCAGUGAUGUAUGCAGCCACUGAUCCCACCUGUUUAAUGGCAAAUAGUCUAUUCCCCGGUUCAUCAUCAAUAGUACCACCAAAAUGAAUCAACAGACGGUUCUUAAACUCCUCCCACGACCCAAAAUCACGACGCGAAACCUCCCAGUUAAACCAUUUCAACACAUCCCCUUCCAAACUUAAGGAAACCAAAUCCAACUUAGCCGCAUCGCUAAAACGACCCACCCGAAAAAAACGCUCCACCUGUGAAAUCCAAGCAUACGGCUGCGAUCCAGUAAACACAGGCAUCUUAAUUUUUUUUAACAAUUUAUCGCGAGUUUCCAGAGGUAACCCCGAAGAUCGAGUUUCGGACGAGUGUAGAUCGGGAAGAAUCUGACCCGAAAACGACUGUCGGGAAGGCUCACCUUCAUCAACUUUUUUUCCAGCGUGAAUCUCCAAACGAUCCAACGUUUUCACCACCGAUUUGAGCAACUCUUCCAACGACACAAGCUUAGACUCCGUCUCCACCUUCGCUUCACACAAACCCUGAAAACCCAAACGCAAAUUCCUCAUCUGCACAUAUAUUGCAUCAGAAGAACCCGUAUCUUCUUCAAACACAUCAGAUCCAUCGCGAUCCAUGAUCAACACAAGUAACGAACCAGUUUCACCGCACCAAUGAUAGAGUUUAGAUCUAUCUCAACACAACAACCCAGAAAAUUGAGAAUCAACCAAAUCAAUUUAUUACUCUAAUCACAAAUCGUGAACAGAGAAAAAAACAACGAUCGUUUCUGUAACAGAGAAUUACAAAACGAAUCUAAAGGAACGAUCUCAUGACGAUCGAUUCCCAGCUAGCACGCAGGCUCAGCAACACACACAACACAUAAAAAAGCAUCCUUGAAAGAGAUGAGCAACGGCUCCUUUUAUUGACUCAGAGAAGUUGAAACCCUCUGAUACGACCCAAGUCUUCGCUCCUUCCUUUUAGCCACUUGCCACGUCACCACUUGCCACCUGUGACGAAUUCUGUAUCUCAGCAUUGACCACGUUGACUUCUCCUCUCUUCCUCUUUCGAUAGUAGCAUUGAUGGACCUUAUCAUAANNNNNNNNNNNNNNNNNNNNNNNNNNNNNNNNNNNNNNNNNNNNNNNNNNNNNNNNNNNNNNNNNNNNNNNNNNNNNNNNNNNNNNNNNNNNNNNNNNNNNNNNNNNNNNNNNNNNNNNNNNNNNNNNNNNNNNNNNNNNNNNNNNNNNNNNNNNNNNNNNNNNNNNNNNNNNNNNNNNNNNNNNNNNNNNNNNNNNNNNNNNNNNNNNNNNNNNNNNNNNNNNNNGUUUAAAAGUUUUAUAACAUCUUCACCGUCGCUGCCUUCUUUUCCGUCCUCAGCAUCAAAACCAGAGCUACAAAUAAAUCGGCAAUCAGAUAACAUUCAAAUCUGCCAUCAAACGAUAUACAAAUCUGCCACAAACAGAGAUUAGGGUUUAAAAUUGUUUUACACCAUUGUCGCUGCCGCCUUCUUCUUCUCCAAAUUUGUUGUUGUUGUCAUAUAAUCGCCUUGCAGAGAACCACCAUCAAAAACCGCCAAACCAGUUGGUAGCAAAAAGGAGAAGACGACGCGGCCGAUGACAGUUUGUGGCGAAGAAGAGAAGACGACUCGACCGAGGAAAGUUGGUGGCAGAGAGGAGAAGACGAACCACAUAUGGUGGCGGCGAAAUCUGAAGAAGAAGAGUUGAGAAUUUAGGUUUUGUUUUUAGACAGGUGCUCCGGAGAAAACAACUCCGUGAGAAGCAGCGUCUAAGCAUUCGCCGGAGAAGCUGCGUCGAAGAACUCACCGGAGAAGAAGGCGAGAGAAUUUUUCUCUCUGGAAUUUUGGGGCUCGACGAUGGAGAAAAAAUGAGAGAGAAUCUCAAAAGGUUUU
rnacentral:lncRNA from 1 species